GAAGAGAGAGAGAGAGAGAGAGAGAGAGAAGUAACGAUGAAGAGAGAGAAAACUGUCGGAAGGAGAACGCUUGAAGGAGACGGAAGAGACAAAUGCAUGCCACUCGGGGAAGAAAAAAUCAUCAACCCAUCAGUCAGGACCAGAGUUGGACUGUUGUUUUUACCUUGUGAGAAUCAUGAUAACGUCCAUCUCAAGCUUCAAAGAGGAUGUGACAAAUGCCUGGUUCUUGUUGAAGUGGUCAUUUCCUAGCUCUGUUCUGAAAUUAAGCCGAGGUUAGUUGGUGGUGGUCUGGAAUUUUUGUGUGGAUUCUGAUUUGGUGUUAAUUUGCAAAUUACUCUGAUUUGUGAGCCGCCAAUUUGUAAGGAUAUGGGUUGAGAUAUGUGAGGCUAUUUCAUAAAUAUUGAGUGAGAUGGUGAACUUGUGGGUUGAGCGACUGGAGCACUAUCAUUUAUUUUAUCUCACAGUUUGUUAAUGCAGGUUCCUAGCUUGCCACUGUUUUUUAGGGAAGGUGGGUUUAGUGAUGGUGAGCCCCUAUAUUAGGACUGUGUGUGAGGAGGGAUUAUCUGUGCUGUUGAGGGUUGAGUUUGGUGAGAACCUAUAUUUAACUGUUUGUUUCUGGUGCAGGUUCUCAGCUAGUCUAAUUUGGGGGAGUUAUUCUUUGUGGGUUGAGUGAAUGAGGCAUAUAAUUGUUGAGUAGUUUUUGUGUUUAUUUAUAUCAUGUAGUUAACUGCUUUGUUGUGGAGUUUGAGUGUUAUUUAAGGGUGGAGUGAUGGCUAGCAGUCCAUGUGUGCUUUUUACAGUUAACUAUUGUUGAAUUGUUCAAUUGAUUUGUUGAUUGCUUGGCUCUUUUAGAAUCAUUUGACUGAAUGAUGGCCUUGAGAAAAUAAUCCAUUUUGUAGUAGAAAUAUAAUUAUAGAUGGUUCCAAUUGAUCCCAAUUGAGUUCGGCUCGAAACCAAGCAAUUUCCAAAUGCUUCCUUAAUUUUAGUUUUCCUUGCUCCUGUUGUAGACUGCAUCAAAACAUAGUUUUCUCCCUCGAGGAAAAUUGAUGAAGUUAUGAUUUUAGGUGAUUAUGGGAUGCCUACUAAAAUUUUAGUGCAAGGGAAUGCCAUAUUUCAUCAUUUUUGGGCUUACGAACCAGAGUGAUUUUGCCUAUUUCAAGAUAGGGGUGAGGGUGGCUUUGACGAGAGCUCAGGGAAUUUGUCAAUUGAAAUUGAUUUUGUAAUGAGAAGCAAAAAUUUGAAAAUUCAUUAACACCAUGUGAUCAGAUUUGCUAAGUCCUUUGAGCAAUCUUACUCUCAUCAUUGUUUUGGCAUAUUGUUGUUGAUAUGCAAUUAAAACUCUUUUGAAAAAUAAAAUUUGAUAUUACAAUGCUUUGAACAAAACUUUAAGGUAUUGUCCUGGAUGGAAUUGCAUCUUGAGGGCAAUGUUCUAAUUAUUUUUAUUUUUUCCUCUAAUUAUUAUUAGAGAUACCAUCACCUGAAGAAGCAGAUGUCUAUCGGAAUGUGCAAGCUUGCCUUGAACUCCGACAAAGUUAUGUAUUUAGAGAAGAUAUUACUCCAUGGGAGAAAGAAGUUAUAUCCGAACAUUAUGUCAUCAUCGGCUGGUUCUUUUGGAACAAGUAGAUCCAUCCCCUUCAAUUUCUUUAUAAAUUGAAAGUAUGCUAAUUUUAUUAUGUUGAGAAAUAAUGAUAUGAUGUUUGAUGUAAUGCUUAUCUGGACAUCUAUUCAGAAAUUCAGUCUUCACUUGAUGCUUAAUGCGGAUAGGGAGUUCCUAGCUCAGAAAAGUGCACCACACCAUGACUUUUAUAAUGUCAGGAAAGUUGACACAUGUUCAUCACUCGGCAUGCAUGAACCAAAAACAUCUUUUGAGCUUUUAUAAAAUCAAAGUUGAGGAAGGAGCCUGAUGAAGUAAUGGCUACAUUUUUAUUUUUAUUUUUAUUCUUUUGGUUUCCCUGCUUGUUUCCACUAUGAGAUUUGAUCUGGGAAUUUUGGCCUUGUUGUGCUUUCUAUGGUCAGUUUCUAGCCACAUAGCAAAGUCAAACUUGACAACUAUUAAAACGUUGUAAUAUUUCGAGAUGGAACAUACCUGACCUUGAAAGAGGCUUUUGAGAGAUUGGAUUUAACUAGGUAUGACCUGAAUGUUGACCUUUUAGAUGUUCAUGCCGACAAGAGCAUCUUUCAUCGUUUUGAUAAAUUCAACUUAAAGUAUAGUCCCUGUGGUCAGAGUAGGCUAAGCGAGAUUUUUCUAUGCAAGAAAACCUUAUCCGGGACAAGAAAUGCAACAGGGUUAGUUCCUCUAGCUAUUGUCGCGGGUUUAGAUGCCUUAACACAUACAUUGGGCACCCUCGUCCCUAUGAUAAGAGCAAGUGGAUUUGCUAUAGGUGCAGUUGCAACUGCUAUAGGAACUGUUGUCGGUAGUUUUAGAUAAUCUCUUAACAGUUGUCGAUAUGUUUAGAAAGUUAGAUAUGCAUAGUUUUGGAUGGUUUAAACUUUUUGUAUAGUUUAGAACUUAAGGAUA